rnacentral:misc_RNA from 1 species
AAGAGCUUUAGGCUUUGAAUUUAUGAAUUCUAUGCUGUCUUCAACCAUGUCUAACUGUCAAGCAGAUGUUCACUGUGAGUUAAAAACUUGCAUUGUUUAAAGAACAUAUAUAAAGAUAGAACUCUUUGCAGAAUGCCAAGAUUUUAAGGAUACUAAAUGGUGAUUAACAUGCAUCUUACUGUAAUUAUGGGAAGCAAUGGACCAAAGAUCUCAUCUGUCAUUAUUUCUGAUUGAAGGGGAGGAUCUAGCAAGAUUGUU